AUCACUUGUGACCUUGCGUUAAUAGAUGAGCCUAAGUCGGAUUAGCUAGUUGGUGGGGUAAAGGCCUACCAAGGCGACGAUCUGUAGCGGGUCUGAGAGGAUGAUCCGCCACACUGGGACUGAGACACGGCCCAGACUCCUACGGGAGGCAGCAGUGGGGAAUAUUGGACAAUGGGGGGAACCCUGAUCCAGCCAUGCCGCGUGUGUGAAGAAGGCCUUAUGGUUGUAAAGCACUUUAAGCGAGGAGGAGGCUCUCUUGGUUAAUACCCAAGAUGAGUGGACGUUACUCGCAGAAUAAGCACCGGCUAACUCUG
rnacentral:rRNA from 2 species